AAUACAGUGUGCAUACAGUGACCAUAAAAAGAGGUGUGCCCGAUGAGUCCCAUGUAGGAUAACAAUUCUGCAUUGGUUUGGAGUCACUAGGUCACAUGGCUUGGGAGGUAUU